CCACUUCUAAGCUUGUAUUGCAAGAUCUAAGAUCAACAGUGGAGUCAGCAAUAUGAAGAACUGUUUCACCAGGCCUGUGAAAAUCCAAUGGAUGCAAGUGCUCCAAGGGCCGGAAGGUAAGCUUCGAACCCCUAGCAGGGCAAUGUAACUGAUAAUAUUCACAAAUUAUCUGCAAAGAUCCAUGACUGUUCGCCUGAAUUCAAAUAAGCAUAUAAAGUGAGAGUUAGAGUAGUCAAGUGGGCCCAGUUCAGAAACCAGAAAACAUGAAAUAUUGGUUUUAGUCACAAAAAUGCAAUUAUCAAACCUUGGCCCAUUCAAGGAUAUCACCAUGACCACUGGAAUCUUCCAGACCAGAUGAAGAUGGCUCUUCGAGCUCUACUUCAUCCAUAUCACUCCUAAAAUUUCUGUCUUCACUUGGAGAACCUUGGAAACUGUAGAUGCUAAGAAUUAACAUUACUAACUCGUCAAACAGAAAUUCUUCUUUAAACUAGGCUGCCAAAACAGCUGCAAAAGUGCUAAUGUAAGACUAAACCCUGAGAUUAUCACUAACUCAAACAAUAAUCAUCUCCUGUCACUCUUAUUUCAACAGAAAGCUCUGGUCAUAGAAACAUUACAUACCAUAGAUAAUGUAGAUUUACAGGAGGAACACUCAGAAUCCACCUGUUGUGGCCUUAGCGUUAUUCACAUGUCUCACUAUUAUUUCUAAUGUGAAACUUUAUGGGAUAAAAGUUUCAUAUUAUAUUUCUGUACCAAAAAAAAGUUUCAUAUUAUAAUUCAACCAUGAAAAUGUACAUUGAAGUCAGCAAAAUUUGAAGGAACCUCAGGAUACUUGUCAUAGAGCCCUUAUCUUGUUAUGACAUAAUUUAUUUAUUAUUAUAACAUAGAAGAAAACCUAUGAAAGAUCUUAUACAUAAUCCAGUAUGAAGCUUUAGUCAUGUUUUUAAUUAACAUGUUAUGCCAUCAUAAACCAUUAUUGACCAUUAUUAUUGUUACAGCAGCUGUUAUUUGCCUCAAAAAUUAGCAUCUUAAAUUUUUUAUAUUAAAAUAAUCACUGUCAUAACAGCUGUCAUAUUGAUAUUAUAAUGAAAAAGGGGCAAUAGCAAAAAAACAGUUUUCAUUGGAUGAAAAAUUUAUUUUUUGAAAUGUAUAAUCACUUUUGGCGGGAAAUUAUUUAAGUGAAAGCAGGAUGUAAGAAUGUGCACUCAUAAAUCCAUGAUAAUCAAUCAGACAAUAACUAUUUGUUUCUCCAAAAGUGCCCCGGCAAACAUUGUGAUUAUAUUUUCAAGCCUCAGACAUCCACAUAUGCAUGCAACCGUCCAUACAGACAAAGCAAUUGCCUCCUCCUCAGCUAGCAGUGCACUGUGUGCCUCAGCCACUUCUAAGCUUGUAUUGCAAGAUCUAAGAUCAACGGUGGAGUCAGCUAUAUGAAGAACUGUUUCACCAGGCCUGUGAAAAUCCAAAGGAUGCAAGUGCUCCAAGGGCCGGAAGGUAAGCUUCGAACCCCUAGCAGGGCAAUGUAACUGAUAAUAUUCACAAAUUAUCUGCAAAGAUCCAUGACUGUUCGCCUUGGCCCAUUCAAGGAUAUCAC
rnacentral:lncRNA from 1 species